UAGUGGCGAACGGGUGAGUAACGCGUGGGAAACCUGCCCUUCAGCGGGGGAUAACAGGCCUAACGGCCUGCUAAUACCGCAUACGUCCCCUGGUCCGCAUGGUCCGGGGAAGAAAAGUGGCCUCUCUUUGAAGCUGCUACUGAAGGAUGGUCCCGCGUCCCAUUAGCUUGUUGGUGGGGUAAUGGCCUACCAAGGCGACGAUGGGUAGCCGGCCUGAGAGGGUGUCCGGCCACACUGGGACUGAGAUACGGCCCAGACUCCUACGGGAGGCAGCAGUCGAGAAGCUUCGGCAAUGGGCGAAAGCCUGACCGAGCGACGCCGCGUGAGCGAAUGAAGGCCCUAUGGGUUGUAAAGCUCUGUCAGAUUGGGAAGAAAACUUCACGAUUAAUACCCGUGAAGCUUGACGGUACCAUCAGAGGAAGCACCGGCUAACUCCGUGCCAGCAGCCGCGGUAAUACGGAGGGUGCAAGCGUUGUUCGGAUUCACUGGGUAUAAAGGGUGCGCAGGCGGCCUGAUAAGUCAGGGGUGAAAUAUGUCGGCUUAACCGGCAAACGGCCCCUGAAACUGCCAGGCUUGAGUCCGGGAGAGGAUGGUGGAAUUCCUGGUGUAGCGGUGAAAUGCGUAAAUAUCAGGAGGAACACCUAUGGCGAAGGCAGCCAUCUGGCCCGGUACUGACGCUCAGGCACGAAAGCUAGGGGAGCGAACAGGAUUAGAUACCCUGGUAGUCCUAGCCGUAAACGAUGGGCACUAGGUGUUGG
rnacentral:rRNA from 1 species